GACGAACGCUGGCGGCGUGCCUAACACAUGCAAGUCGAGCGAUGAAGCUCCUUCGGGAGUGGAUUAGCGGCGGACGGGUGAGUAACACGUGGGUAACCUGCCUCAUAGAGAGGGAUAGCCUUCCGAAAGGAAGAUUAAUACCUCAUAAGAUUGUAGGUUCGCAUGAAACGGCAAUAAAAGGAGAAAUCCGCUAUGAGAUGGACCCGCGUCGCAUUAGCUAGUUGGUAAGGUAAUGGCACCCAAGGCGACGAUGCGUAGCCGACCUGAGAGGGUGAUCGGCCACAGUGGGACUGAGACACGGCCCAGACUCCUACGGGAGGCAGCAGUGGGGAAUAUUGCACAAUGGGGGAAACCCUGAUGCAGCAACGCCGCGUGAGUGAUGACGGUCUUCGGAUUGUAAAACUCUGUCUUUGGGGACGAUAAUGACGGUACCCAAGGAGGAAGCCACGGCUAACUACGUGCCAGCCGCCGCGGUAAGAC
rnacentral:rRNA from 1 species